CGUGGGUUCAGAGAGAAAGGGACGCUACUGUCGUUUGUUGGGGGGUUUUGAUGUUAGCUGCAUUGCUUGGAUGAUGUAUUUCUACCUAUGAUGGGAUGGCGAUGGUGAGCGUGAUUAAUUUUGGUUUUGACGCAGAGUAACCUCGAGAGUGUUUAGUGCCCUUUUUUUUUUAUUGUAGACGGAUCUUGAAGCUUAAGGAUUUGAAAACCAUGCUGUUCCCCACGUCCAGAAGAUGAGUAACAUUUUACAUGUGAAAUGUUCUGAAUGACACCUUUGAAAAUAUGGAACUUCACUUCAAGCUUCCAAUCUAGGACUUGUAUCCAAUUAUGCAGGCGGCGUGGAAUUCUCAUUAGUGAGAUGUGAAUGUCCAUAACAUGUACACAGACCACCAAGGAAAUCUUGACAACUGAGUAUCCCAGUAAAGUUUUUCACAUGAUUUGAGAUACUGCAUAGUUCAACAAUACUCCUUGCAAAUGUGUUAUGUCCCAUGACAGACAUCUGUUCCUCGUAAUUCGUAAUGACUCAAUUCAGAUUUCAAGACUCCCUGGCUCAUCAUCAAAUUGGAUUAUCUUUAACGUUGGUCAAGAAGGCUACUACCGGGUGAUUUACGAUGAACGAAACUUAAAUAUGAUCCGAGAGCAACUUAUGAAGAGCCACACUGUCAUUUCGAAAAAGAAUCGAGCUCAAAUUUUGGACGAUUAUUUGAACAUGGCCCGGGCGAAUCUGACGUCCUACGUAUCCGCCAUGGAACUGACCCGCUAUCUCACCAACGAACACGACUACGCACCUUGGACAGCUGCUUCUGUGGCUCUCAAUUAUAUUGACGUCAUGUUUUAUGGUUUACGCGAUGAAAGAGACUGGAAGGAUUACAUGACCGGUUUGGUGAUUCCUCUAUACAAUCACGUGAAAUAUACCGAGAGUGCCAGCGACGUUCACUUGACAGUUUUCACGCGUUCUCAAGCUCUCUAUUGGGCUUGCAGCAAAUUAAACAUUUCCGACUGUGUCCAGAACGCCGAUAGAGAUUACUAUGCCUGGAUGGCCAACGACGCCAAUGAACUGUCGCCGAAUUUACGCCGAUUGAUUUCUUGCACGGCCAUCGCUGACGGAAGUCGACCCGAAUGGAAAUUUGGCUUCGAUAAAUACGUGAAUUCGACUUUGCCCAACGAGAAAACUGAACUGCUCUGAGCCAUCACUUGCACCGUGAAUGUCAACCAUUCUCAACGAAAUGCUUGUUAUGAUGAUUACCAACAACUCGGAUAUAAGACUUCAAGAUGCCAGUACCCUUUUCAGCAACAUUGCUGCCAAUCCAGUGGGACAUCAAGUGGCGAUGGAUUUCUUGAUCAAUCGUUGGGAUGAAACCUCCGCUUAUUUCGGCGGCUUUCAAGGCUUCGGCGGAGGGACCAUGGCGAGACUGUUCCGUUCUCUUUGCAAUCGAGUCAACACUCAAGCGAAGCUGAAUCAGUUGAAGAAGUUGCGGAGCGAUCACCCGGCUGAAUUGGGUUCUUCCAAAUCAGUUAGCCAAGGAAUGGAAGUGGCUGAGGCCAACGUCCUGUGGGUUCAACAACAUUACGAUACCAUCGUCAAUUGGCUCAAGAGCCAACAAUCUGCAGCGACCACACAACCAACAGUUGCCACGACUCCUUCGACAGUUGCCACCACUCCUUCGACAGCUUCCAGUGUUUACCUUGACAACUUUUCCGCUUUGAUAAUGGCCGUAUUGGCUGGAUUCUGGAGUUUGACGCGUUUUUGUUCGUUUCCAUGAAACUUAGGAGACUAUAAAAGAGGGAGAUGCAAAUUUGCGAAACAAUAAAUUUUACAAAUGAAUGAUUAAA